UACGUAGGGGGCGAGCGUUGUCCGGAAUCAUUGGGCGUAAAGCGCGUGUAGGCGGCUCGGUAAGUCUGCUGUGAAAGUCCAGGGCUCAACCCUGGAAUGCCGGUGGAUACUGUCGAGCUUGAGUCCGGAAGAGGCGAGUGGAAUUCCUGGUGUAGCGGUGAAAUGCGCAGAUAUCAGGAGGAACCCCAAUGGCGAAGGCAGCUCGCUGGGACGUGACUGACGCUGAGACGCGAAAGCGUGGGGAGCAAACAGG
rnacentral:rRNA from 1 species